AUUGCUAAUAAUAAUGCCUCUCUUCCUUUUCAUGCCGUGUCACUUUCUCUUUGACAUUGCCGUAUACUUUGUGCAAAAAGGAGAACGGAGCGAAAAAAUCUUUAUCAAAUCCCCAUUCUGCGGCUUUCAAUAAGGCAGGCCAUUACCUCACUGGCGCUUUUGUUCGGCCUAUACAAGAGAGAACAAAAUGGUUAUUCAGGAGGACGCUUUAGAUUUUUAUUGUGGGCUCGCUAUUCACAAAGAGCACCGUUAUUGUAUUAAAAGAACCAUCUGUGGCAGAAACAAUGGCUUCAAAUUAUCUGUGAAUACCCAGUGAACAAAAUAUAAAGCUUUUUCCUGCUCAUUAUGUGGGCUAAGCUAGGGGGUGGAAGAUAGGAGAGGAGAGGCAUAGACUUUGCUAUAACUGACUUUUGUUGUUCUUGCUUGCAUUCUUCUUCUUUUAAAUCGGCCCCCUUUUCACAUUGUGUGUCGCCAUAAACGGCUUUUCUUGUUGCAGGGCGAGCGGAGGGAAGACAGCGCAGCUCCAGACGGCGCCGGGGCUCCGCGGGGCUGCACGGCGGCCGAGGCGCGCGGGCUGGGCGGAUGGAGGCGGCGCACGGACGCACGGACGGACGGGGCUCGGGCUGCCGCUCCACACCCGCUGCUCUGCGGCCGGCGACGGGAGCCGAGCCCGGGCAGACCUGGGCUCUCGCCGGGACGCGCUCGCGGAGGAAGAGCGAAAUGGCAUCCGCUUGAGUUCGUGCCAUGAAGGCGAGAGGAAGACAAGUCCCAGACUGGCAUCUUCCUGGCCGAGUCUCCAGCCUCUGGUUACGGCCCCUAGUGGCAAGAAUAGACACGCUUAUUGUGAUUCCACCUGACGUCCGUCUCUGUCGUUGCCACGGCUUGGUUUCACUUUCUCUGGGUUAGUUUUUAUUUAUUGUGUCGUGCGUUUAUUUCAGUAAUAUUGGCGUUGGCGUCGUAGCUCGAGGCAGGGUUUUAUUUGCGUUGUGUUACUUUUUGGUUACGGGGCAUCUGACGCUGCUCAGUUGUAUGGAGUAAAGCUCGUUUCUCCUUGUAUUUCGUUGCUCUUUUGGUGUCUUGUUUUUGCACAGAUCAUAUCACCUACAUUUGUGCGAGCACAAAACCUGUAUUUUGAUAUCACAGCGUGC
rnacentral:lncRNA from 1 species